rnacentral:rRNA from 1 species
GACGAACCGUGCGAACGUUGUUCGGAAUCACUGGGCUUAAAGGGCGCGUAGGCGGUCUGCCAAGUCUGGGGUGAAAUCCUUCGGCUCAACCGGAGAACGGCCUCGGAUACUGGCGGUCUCGAGGGAGGUAGGGGCGUGCGGAACUAAGGGUGGAGCGGUGAAAUGCGUUGAUAUCCUUAGGAACUCCGGUGGCGAAGGCGGCACGCUGGACCUCUUCUGACGCUGAGGCGCGAAAGCCAGGGGAGCAAACGGG